GCGCCCUUAGCUCAGCUGGAUAGAGCACGUCCCUUCUAAGGAUGUGGUCAUUGGUUCGAAUCAAUAGGGCGUGCCA
rnacentral:tRNA from 1 species